ACUAAGCGUACACGGUGGAUGCCCUGGCAGUCAGAGGCGAUGAAGGACGUGCUAAUCUGCGAUAAGCGUCGGUAAGGUGAUAUGAACCGUUAUAACCGGCGAUUUCCGAAUGGGGAAACCCAGUGUGUUUCGACACACUAUCAUUAACUGAAUCCAUAGGUUAAUGAGGCGAACCGGGGGAACUGAAACAUCUAAGUACCCCGAGGAAAAGAAAUCAACCGAGAUUCCCCCAGUAGCGGCGAGCGAACGGGGAGCAGCCCAGAGCCUGAAUCAGUGUGUGUGUUAGUGGAAGCGUCUGGAAAGGCGCGCGAUACAGGGUGACAGCCCCGUACACAAAAAUGCACAUGCUGUGAGCUCGAUGAGUAGGGCGGGACACGUGGUAUCCUGUCUGAAUAUGGGGGGACCAUCCUCCAAGGCUAAAUACUCCUGACUGACCGAUAGUGAACCAGUACCGUGAGGGAAAGGCGAAAAGAACCCCGGCGAGGGGAGUGAAAAAGAACCUGAAACCGUGUACGUACAAGCAGUGGGAGCACGCUUAGGCGUGUGACUGCGUACCUUUUGUAUAAUGGGUCAGCGACUUAUAUUCUGUAGCAAGGUUAACCGAAUAGGGGAGCCGAAGGGAAACCGAGUCUUAACUGGGCGUUAAGUUGCAGGGUAUAGACCCGAAACCCGGUGAUCUAGCCAUGGGCAGGUUGAAGGUUGGGUAACACUAACUGGAGGACCGAACCGACUAAUGUUGAAAAAUUAGCGGAUGACUUGUGGCUGGGGGUGAAAGGCCAAUCAAACCGGGAGAUAGCUGGUUCUCCCCGAAAGCUAUUUAGGUAGCGCCUCGUGAAUUCAUCUCCGGGGGUAGAGCACUGUUUCGGCAAGGGGGUCAUCCCGACUUACCAACCCGAUGCAAACUGCGAAUACCGGAGAAUGUUAUCACGGGAGACACACGGCGGGUGCUAACGUCCGUCGUGAAGAGGGAAACAACCCAGACCGCCAGCUAAGGUCCCAAAGUCAUGGUUAAGUGGGAAACGAUGUGGGAAGGCCCAGACAGCCAGGAUGUUGGCUUAGAAGCAGCCAUCAUUUAAAGAAAGCGUAAUAGCUCACUGGUCGAGUCGGCCUGCGCGGAAGAUGUAACGGGGCUAAACCAUGCACCGAAGCUGCGGCAGCGACGCUUAUGCGUUGUUGGGUAGGGGAGCGUUCUGUAAGCCUGUGAAGGUGUGCUGUGAGGCAUGCUGGAGGUAUCAGAAGUGCGAAUGCUGACAUAAGUAACGAUAAAGCGGGUGAAAAGCCCGCUCGCCGGAAGACCAAGGGUUCCUGUCCAACGUUAAUCGGGGCAGGGUGAGUCGACCCCUAAGGCGAGGCCGAAAGGCGUAGUCGAUGGGAAACAGGUUAAUAUUCCUGUACUUGGUGUUACUGCGAAGGGGGGACGGAGAAGGCUAUGUUGGCCGGGCGACGGUUGUCCCGGUUUAAGCGUGUAGGCUGGUUUUCCAGGCAAAUCCGGAAAAUCAAGGCUGAGGCGUGAUGACGAGGCACUACGGUGCUGAAGCAACAAAUGCCCUGCUUCCAGGAAAAGCCUCUAAGCAUCAGGUAACAUCAAAUCGUACCCCAAACCGACACAGGUGGUCAGGUAGAGAAUACCAAGGCGCUUGAGAGAACUCGGGUGAAGGAACUAGGCAAAAUGGUGCCGUAACUUCGGGAGAAGGCACGCUGAUAUGUAGGUGAAGUCCCUCGCGGAUGGAGCUGAAAUCAGUCGAAGAUACCAGCUGGCUGCAACUGUUUAUUAAAAACACAGCACUGUGCAAACACGAAAGUGGACGUAUACGGUGUGACGCCUGCCCGGUGCCGGAAGGUUAAUUGAUGGGGUUAGCCGCAAGGCGAAGCUCUUGAUCGAAGCCCCGGUAAACGGCGGCCGUAACUAUAACGGUCCUAAGGUAGCGAAAUUCCUUGUCGGGUAAGUUCCGACCUGCACGAAUGGCGUAAUGAUGGCCAGGCUGUCUCCACCCGAGACUCAGUGAAAUUGAACUCGCUGUGAAGAUGCAGUGUACCCGCGGCAAGACGGAAAGACCCCGUGAACCUUUACUAUAGCUUGACACUGAACAUUGAGCCUUGAUGUGUAGGAUAGGUGGGAGGCUUUGAAGUGUGGACGCCAGUCUGCAUGGAGCCGACCUUGAAAUACCACCCUUUAAUGUUUGAUGUUCUAACGUUGACCCGUAAUCCGGGUUGCGGACAGUGUCUGGUGGGUAGUUUGACUGGGGCGGUCUCCUCCUAAAGAGUAACGGAGGAGCACGAAGGUUGGCUAAUCCUGGUCGGACAUCAGGAGGUUAGUGCAAUGGCAUAAGCCAGCUUGACUGCGAGCGUGACGGCGCGAGCAGGUGCGAAAGCAGGUCAUAGUGAUCCGGUGGUUCUGAAUGGAAGGGCCAUCGCUCAACGGAUAAAAGGUACUCCGGGGAUAACAGGCUGAUACCGCCCAAGAGUUCAUAUCGACGGCGGUGUUUGGCACCUCGAUGUCGGCUCAUCACAUCCUGGGGCUGAAGUAGGUCCCAAGGGUAUGGCUGUUCGCCAUUUAAAGUGGUACGCGAGCUGGGUUUAGAACGUCGUGAGACAGUUCGGUCCCUAUCUGCCGUGGGCGCUGGAGAACUGAGGGGGGCUGCUCCUAGUACGAGAGGACCGGAGUGGACGCAUCACUGGUGUUCGGGUUGUCAUGCCAAUGGCACUGCCCGGUAGCUAAAUGCGGAAGAGAUAAGUGCUGAAAGCAUCUAAGCACGAAACUUGCCCCGAGAUGAGUUCUCCCUGACUCCUUGAGAGUCCUGAAGGAACGUUGAAGACGACGACGUUGAUAGGCCGGGUGUGUAAGCGCAGCGAUGCGUUGAGCUAACCGGUACUAAUGAACCGUGAGGCUUAACC
rnacentral:rRNA from 1 species